CCUACGGGAGGCAGCAGUGAGGAAUAUUGGUCAAUGGACGAGAGUCUGAACCAGCCAAGUAGCGUGAAGGAUGACUGCCCUAUGGGUUGUAAACUUCUUUUAUAAAGGAAUAAAACGAGGCACGUGUGCCUUUUUGCAUGUACUUUAUGAAUAAGGAUCGGCUAACUCCGUGCCAGCAGCCGCGGUAAUACGGAGGUUCCGAGCGUUAUCCGGAUUUAUUGGGUUUAAAGGGAGCGUAGAUGGGUUGUUAAGUCAGUUGUGAAAGUUUGCGGCUCAACCGUAAAAUUGCAAUUGAUACUGGCAGUCGUGAGUACAGUUGAGGUAGGCGGAAUUCGUGGUGUAGCGGUGAAAUGCUUAGAUAUCACGAAGAACCCCGAUUGCGAAGGCAGCUUACUAAACUGUGACUGACAUUGAUGCUCGAAAGUGUGGGUAUCAAACAGGAUUAGAUACCCGGGUAGUC
rnacentral:rRNA from 1 species